AAACCAGUCACACAUAUACAGUGCCAUAGUCAUUGCAGUCAGGACUCAGCAUGGACAUGAGGGACCCUGCUCAGUUUCUUGGGUUCUUGUUGCUCUUGUUUCCAGGAGCCAGAUGUGACAUCCAGAUGACCCAGUCUCCAUCUAUAUCUGCUUCUCUGGGAGACAGAGUCAGCAUCACUUGCAGGGCAAGUCAGGACAUUAGCAGUGCUUUAAGCUGGUACCAGCAGAAACCAGGGAAAUCUCCUAAACUCCUGAUCUAUGGUGCAACCAUUCCGGAAGAUGGCGUCCCGUCAAGGUUCAGUGGCAGUGGGUCUGGGUCAGAUUAUUCUCUCACCAUCAGCAGCCUGGAGUCUGAAGAUGAAUCAAUCUAUCACUGUCAACAAUAUUAUGAUUAUCCUCCCACAGUGAUACAAGUCAUAACAUAA